rnacentral:rRNA from 1 species
UAGGGAAUCUUCCACAAUGGACGCAAGUCUGAUGGAGCAACGCCGCGUGAGUGAAGAAGGUCUUCGGAUCGUAAAGCUCUGUUGUUGGUGAAGAAGGAUAGAGGCAGUAACUGGUCUUUAUUUGACGGUAAUCAACCAGAAAGUCACGGCUAACUACGUGCCAGCAGCCGCGGUAAUACGUAGGUGGCAAGCGUUGUCCGGAUUUAUUGGGCGUAAAGCGAGCGCAGGCGGAAUGAUAAGUCUGAUGUGAAAGCCCACGGCUCACCGUGGAACUGCAUCGGAAACUGUCAUUCUUGAGUGCAGAAGAGGAGAGUGGAACUCCAUGUGUAGCGGUGGAAUGCGUAGAUAUAUGGAAGAACACCAGUGGCGAAGGCGGCUCUCUGGUCUGCAACUGACGCUGAGGCUCGAAAGCAUGGGUAGCGAACAGGAUUAGAUACCCUGGUA